rnacentral:rRNA from 1 species
GAGUUUGAUCCUGGCUCAGAUUGAACGCUGGCGGCAUGCCUUACACAUGCAAGUCGAACGGCAGCACGGGAGCUUGCUCCUGGUGGCGAGUGGCGAACGGGUGAGUAAUGCAUCGGAACGUAUCCUGGAGUGGGGGAUAACGUAGCGAAAGUUACGCUAAUACCGCAUAUUCUGUGAGCAGGAAAGCGGGGGACCUUCGGGCCUCGCGCUCUUGGAGCGGCCGAUGUCGGAUUAGCUAGUUGGUGAGGUAAAGGCUCACCAAGGCGACGAUUCGUAGCAGGUCUGAGAGGAUGAUCUGCCACACUGGAACUGAGACACGGUCCAGACUCCUACGGGAGGCAGCAGUGGGAAUUUUGGACAAUGGGGGCAACCCUGAUCCAGCCAUGCCGCGUGAGUGAAGAAGGCC